CGAGCGAGAAGCACCUUCGGGUGUGAGUACAGCGGCGAACGGGUGAGUAACACGUGGGCAACCUGCCCCAGAGACUGGGAUAACGUUCCGAAAGGAACGCUAAUACCGGAUAAUGCGCGACCUGCCAAGUGGGUCGCGCCAAAUGGUAGCGUAAGCUUCUACUCUGGGAUGGGCCCGCGCCGGAUUAGCUUGUUGGUGAGGUAACGGCUCACCAAGGCGACGAUCCGUAGCUGGUCUGAGAGGACGAUCAGCCACACUGGGACUAAGACACGGCCCAGACUCCUACGGGAGGCAGCAGUGGGGAAUCUUGCGCAAUGGGCGAAAGCCUGACGCAGCAACGCCGCGUGAGCGAAGACGGCCUUCGGGUUGUAAAGCUCUGUCAGGAGGGACGAAGCCACUCAGGUUAAUAGCCGAGAGGGUGACGGUACCUCCAGAGGAAGCCCCGGCUAACUACGUGCCAGCAGCCGCGGUAAUACGUAGGGGGCAAGCGUUGUCCGGAAUCAUUGGGCGUAAAGCGCGUGUAGGCGGCCAUCCAAGUCUGAUGUGAAAGCUCGGGGCUCAACCCCGAGUCUGCAUUGGAAACUGGUUGGCUAGAGUCCGGAAGAGGAGACUGGAAUUCCUGGUGUAGCGGUGAAAUGCGCAGAUAUCAGGAAGAACACCGGUGGCGAAGGCGGGUCUCUGGGACGGUACUGACGCUGAGACGCGAAAGCGUGGGGAGCAAACAGGAUUAGAUACCCUGGUAGUCCACGCCGUANACGAUGGGCACUAGGUGUGGGAGNUGUCGACUCCUUCCGUGCCGUAGCUAACGCAUUAAGUGCCCCGCCUGGGGAGUACGGCCGCAAGGCUAAAAC
rnacentral:rRNA from 1 species